GAAAUAAUGAUGAGAGUGAGCUAACACUCAACCAUCAGGGUAGAGAAGAUAAGACGAACUCCGCCUUAAAUUUAUUAGCCUGGCCUUUUUGACUGUUUCUACAAUACAGUCCUGCAGUGUUGAAACUAUCAAGACAAAGGCAACCUUUAUUCUAUCUGUAUACGGUUGUUAACUCUUAAUGCAAGCAACUGCAAUGACACAACUAGUUCAACUACUAUUGCAUCCAGGUUAAAAUGCAUAUUGGAGUAUGUAGGCCUAAGCAUUUUAUAUAAGCAGGUGUAACUAGCAGAAUACUUAAAUUAAAG